AGUCCUUGGCCGUCUCGCGGCCGCUGACGAACUGGAACUCGUUGGGCGUGAGCCACUCGCCGCGGUGGCGGAUGGACGGGCCCUUGCUGCCCUGGCAGAGUUUGCGCACGUAGAGCAGCGCGCGGUUGGCGCCGCACUCCACCUCGAUGCACGGCUCGCCGUUGUCCAGCAGCGGCUGGAAAUCCGGGGCCGCGGCCGCGGUGGCCGAGAAGCGCUCGAGGGCCAGCGGGUCCCUGGGCAGGUGGAGGUGCGGGGCGGCCUCGUGCAGGCUGAGGAGUGAGUUCGCCCGAGCCACGGAGUUCCUGUUCAGUCUUUUGCAGAAGACGCUGAGACAGAAAGGUCAAGUAACUCUCCUGAAGUCACACAGCUGUUUCAAAUGCAGGAUGUCUCACACCAGGACCGCGCCAGGACCAUGGUGUGGGGCAAGAGCUUCCUGUCACCCCACACCUCCCAGCAGGAAGGUGGUGUGGAUCCGAGGCAGGGUGAGGGUGGGGGAUAGCGGGUUGGCAGAGUGCACGGCCUCCCACUAGGAGGAGCAAGGCUAGUGAAGCAGGACCGGCCACACCACGUCCACCUUGGUGCCUUCUGACAGGUCAGUCUGGGCCCCAGUCCCUGGUUCCUGGUGAGCUUCCCAUCACCCCCCACCUCCCUGCGUGCCCAGAUCGGCAUUGCAUCUGGAGCGUUCCGAAGAGAAACACAACCUGGGGGCGUUGGUAACAGCAGGUGAGACAGCCUUGUCCUGCGCUGCUGUGCGGUGUUGCAUCCACUAGAAAGGGGCCUCCUGUUCUGACCCUGGCCCCUGCCCUUGAGAUGCAGCUGGCAUGUCC
rnacentral:lncRNA from 1 species